UACGUAGGUGGCAAGCGUUGUCCGGAUUUACUGGGCGUAAAGAGCGCGCAGGCGGUCGUUCAAGUCGCGUGUGAAAGCCCCCGGCUCAACUGGGGAGGGUCACGCGAUACUGAUCGACUCGAAGGCAGGAGAGGGAAGUGGAAUUCCCGGUGUAGUGGUGAAAUGCGUAGAUAUCGGGAGGAACACCAGUGGCGAAGGCGACUCUUUGGUCUGUAACUGACGCUGAGGCGCGAAAGCGUGGGGAGCAAACAGG
rnacentral:rRNA from 1 species